rnacentral:rRNA from 1 species
UACGGAGGGAGCUAGCGUUAUUCGGAAUUACUGGGCGUAAAGCGCACGUAGGCGGCUUUGUAAGUAAGAGGUGAAAGCCUGGUGCUCAACACCAGAACUGCCUUUUAGACUGCAUCGCUUGAAUCCAGGAGAGGUGAGUGGAAUUCCGAGUGUAGAGGUGAAAUUCGUAGAUAUUCGGAAGAACACCAGUGGCGAAGGCGGCUCACUGGACUGGUAUUGACGCUGAGGUGCGAAAGCGUGGGGAGCAGACAGG